GCCUUCGUGGUGUAGUGGUCAGCACGCUCGGCGCGUAACCGAGAGGUCCGUGGUUCGAGUCCCGGCCAAGGCA
rnacentral:tRNA from 1 species